rnacentral:rRNA from 1 species
AAAUCAAGCGCGAUAAGGGCGUUUGGUGGAUGCCUAGGCAGCAAGAGGCGAUGAAGGACGUGAUACUCUGCGAUAAGCCAUGGGGAGCCGAGAAUAGGCUUUGAUCCAUGGAUUUCCGAAUGGGGCAACCCACCUGAAUGUUGGUUAUUGUCUGACGCAAGUCAGUCAAUAAUCGGCAUAACCAGGUAUUUAAGACCUGAAUAUAUAGGGUUUUAAAAGCGAACCCGGGGAACUGAAACAUCUAAGUACCCGGAGGAAAGGACAUCAACAGAUACUCCCCCAGUAGCGGCGAGCGAACGGGGACCAGCCGAGCCAUGAGAAUGACCGGAAUGAUCUGGAAAGAUCAGCCAGAGCGGGUGACAGCCCCGUAUGGGAAGUUCGAUUGGACGUAUUAAGUAGGGCGGGACACGUGAAAUCCUGUCCGAAGAUCGGGGGACCACCCUCGAAGGCUAAGUACUCCUUGCUGACCGAUAGCGAACCAGUACCGUGAGGGAAAGGUGAAAAGCACCCCGACGAGGGGAGUGAAACAGUUUCUGAAACCGGACGCCUACAAGCAGUCGGAGCCCAGCCUCCAAAUCAAUCGGAAAAGACGGCGAUGUUCUAUGUUUACGUUUUGAAAAGCAGAGGAUUGAUUUGGUGGCUGGGUGACGGCGUACCUUUUGUAUAAUGGGUCAACGACUUGGUCUGUCUGGCAAGCUUAAGCCGUUAGGUGGAGGCGCAGCGAAAGCGAGUGUUAAAUGCGCGACUGAGUCAGACGGAUCAGACCCGAAACCGAGUGAUCUAGCCAUGUGCAGGAUGAAGGUUGGGUAACACCAACUGGAGGUCCGAACCCACACCUGUUGAAAAAGGUCGGGAUGACGUGUGGCUAGGGGUGAAAGGCCAAUCAAACUCGGAGAUAGCUGGUUCUCCGCGAAAGCUAUUUAGGUAGCGCCUCGGACGUAUCCUCUCGGGGGUAGAGCACUGCAUGGAUGAUGGGGGCCCACAGCCUUACUGAGUCUAAGCAAACUCCGAAUACCGAGAAGGACUAUCCGGGAGACACACGGCGGGUGCUAACGUCCGUCGUGGAGAGGGAAACAACCCUGACCAACAGCUAAGGCCCCCAAUUCGUGGCUAAGUGGGAAAGCAUGUGAGACUUCCAAAACAACCAGGAGGUUGGCUUAGAAGCAGCCAUCCUUUAAAGAUAGCGUAACAGCUCACUGGUCUAAUCAAGAGGUCUUGCGGCGAAGAUGUAACGGGGCUCAAGCCACGAGCCGAAGCUUUGGGUGCACGCAAGUGCGCGGUAGCGGAGCGUUCUGUGAUAGAGAACGCUGCCUCUUUUGCCUGUUCGCAGGCAACGGAGGCAUUGUUCUGACUGUGAAGCCGGGCCGUAAGGCAGCCGGUGGAGUGAUCAGAAGUGAGAAUGUUGACAUGAGUAGCGACAAACAGGGUGAGAGACCCUGUCGCCGAAAGUCCAAGGGUUCCUGCUUAAAGCUAAUCUGAGCAGGGUAAGCCGGCCCCUAAGGCGAGGCCGAAAGGCGUAGUCGAUGGGAACCAGGUUAAUAUUCCUGGGCCAGGAGAUGGUGACGGAUUGCGAAGGUUGUUCGAUCUUAUCGGAUUGAUCGGGCCGCUGAGCAGUUCCUGGAAACAGCCCUCCAUGAGACCGUACCCGAAACCGACACAGGUGGACUGGUAGAGAAUACCAAGGCGCUUGAGAGAACCACAUUUAAGGAACUCGGCAAAAUACCUCCGUAAGUUCGCGAGAAGGAGGCCCGGUUUGCAGGCAACUGCGGGCCGGGGGCACAAACCAGGGGGUGGCGACUGUUUACUAAAAACACAGGGCUCUGCGAAGCCGCAAGGCGACGUAUAGGGUCUGACGCCUGCCCGGUGCCGGAAGGUUAAAAGGAGAAGUGCAAGCUUUGAAUUGAAGCCCCGGUAAACGGCGGCCGUAACUAUAACGGUCCUAAGGUAGCGAAAUUCCUUGUCGGGUAAGUUCCGACCUGCACGAAUGGCGUAACGACUUCCCCGCUGUCUCAAAUGUGGACUCAGCGAAAUUGAAUUGUCUGUGAAGAUGCAGACUUCCCGCGGUUAGACGGAAAGACCCCAUGCACCUUUACUAUAGCUUCGCACUGGCAUCAGGACUGCGAUGUGCAGGAUAGGCGGUAGGCUUUGAACCGGGGACGCCAGUCUCCGGGGAGCCAUCCUUGAGAUACCGCCCUUCGCACUCUUGAUGUCUAACCGCGGCCCGUUAUCCGGGUCCGGGACCCUGCGUGGUGGGUAGUUUGACUGGGGCGGUCGCCUCCCAAAGAGUAACGGAGGCGCGCGAAGGUUGGCUCAGAGCGGUCGGAAAUCGCUCGUUGAGUGCAAUGGCAGAAGCCAGCCUGACUGCAAGACUGACAAGUCGAGCAGAGUCGAAAGACGGCCAUAGUGAUCCGGUGGUCCCGAGUGGAAGGGCCAUCGCUCAACGGAUAAAAGGUACGCUGGGGAUAACAGGCUGAUGAUGCCCAAGAGUCCAUAUCGACGGCAUCGUUUGGCACCUCGAUGUCGGCUCAUCUCAUCCUGGGGCUGGAGCAGGUCCCAAGGGUACGGCUGUUCGCCGUUUAAAGAGGUACGUGAGCUGGGUUUAGAACGUCGUGAGACAGUUCGGUCCCUAUCUGCCGUGGGUGUAGGAUACUUGAGAGGAGUUGCCCCUAGUACGAGAGGACCGGGGUGAACGUUCCACUGGUGGACCAGUUGUCGUGCCAACGGCAGUGCUGGGUAGCUAUGAACGGACAGGAUAAACGCUGAAGGCAUCUAAGCGUGAAGCCCCCCUCAAAACCAGGUAUCCCUUGAGAGCCGUGGAAGACCACCACGUCGAUAGGCCGGAGAUGUAAGCGCAGCAAUGCGUUCAGUUGACCGGUACUAAUGGCUCGACAGGCUUGAUUUG